AAUCAGAUACCAUUGUCGUCUCCGAGCAUCAUUGUCGUCUUCUUCACCGCCGUCUUCUGCGUCUCGCCGCCAUCUCCUGAGGUCCCGUUGGCAUCGUCUUCUAUAGUCUCGGUUCCGUCUCCUGAGGUCUCGUCACCAUCUUCUUCUACAGUCUCGGUGUCGUCGCCUUCAUCGUUGAGAUCUCAGCGCCGUCUUCAUCGUGUUCAAGCAGGGUUUUAGCGAUGUGCUUUGUUGAAUUUUCCAGAUCUCCAGAUUUUGUGACGGAUUUUGUUCUUGUUAUCAUAAGGAACAGGGCUGUUGGAGUGGUUCUUGUUGCCGCUCACAUUCAUGUUUACCUCUUUCCUUCUUCUCUUAGCUACCUCGCUCUCAUUCCCGCCAGG